rnacentral:rRNA from 1 species
UAACAUGGUCUCCGUAGGUGAACCUGCGGAGGGAUC